AUACGGAGGGUCCAAGCGUUAUCCGGAAUCAUUGGGUUUAAAGGGUUCGCAGGCGGGUCAAUAAGUCAGAGGUGAAAUCUUGCAGCUUAACUGUAAAAUUGCCUUUGAAACUGUUGACCUUGAAUUACUGUGAAGUGGUUAGAAUAUGUAGUGUAGCGGUGAAAUGCUUAGAGAUUACAUAGAAUACCGAUUGCGAAGGCAGAUCACUAACAGUAUAUUGACGCUGAUGAACGAAAGCGUGGGUAGCGAACGGGAUUAGAAACCCUAGUAGUCC
rnacentral:rRNA from 1 species